AACUGACUGAGCCACCCAGGCGCCCCUGAAGGAAGAGGAUAUUGAAUCCAGACUUUCUGAGCUGGGAAGCCUUGAGCAAGUUCAUGGACAUGAUUGAGCUUUAGCCUCCUUGGGGCUUGUAUUACGCAUAUCACAAGGGUGUUUUCAAGAACAGUAAUGAUACGUGUAAGGCAGAGUAUAUGGGAAACAGACUUUUAUUCAUGAAAGUUAUUAAAUCAGUGAAUAAUUAUUGUCCCCCAACUAUGUGGCAGCCACUGUUCCAAGGUCAUAGGAUACACAAGUGGGUAAAAUGAGUCCUGUCUUUUUGGAGGUUAUAUUCUAUGUGAUAAGAAGUGUUAAAGCAUUAUCGACAACAAACACAAUAAACAAGUAUUUAUCGCUCUUACUAUUAUAUUAUCCAUUUGGAGCAAUCUGGAAAGAAACAGAGAGGGUUUUAAUAGUCUGAGAUGGAAAUCUGGACAGGGAUGGAAGUAUGGAAGAAGAAAUAACAUGCACCAAAGUGCAGGGUGGGAUAUUUGCAGAGGAUAGGUGCAGUGACAACCACUGGGGAGUGUGUUGGGCCAGAGCGCAUGGCUGACCUUGGGUGCGGAGUGGGCAGCCUGAGUGUCAGGCUGGGGAGUUAAUAGACCACAAGCAACAGAAAUCAACAAAACAAAACAGGGAUUUCUUUUUAACCUAGAGUGUAAUUUGACCAGAUCUGGACCUUCAGAAGUUUAAAUGUGUUAGUUCUGCAUAAAAGAUAUUGGAAGGAGAAAGAUAGGGAAUUUGGAGAGGUCCAGUCAUUGCAAAAGCUUAGUGAAGAAAAAACCCAAUGGGAAUGAAUCGGUACCAUCCCCGGUUAUUUAUUAAAUCCAUAUUGGGAACUUUUAAAACUUAAUUUUUCCAAGUCUUAUUGACAUCAAAUACAGAAAUCCCAAGUGUACUGAAUAAAUUUUUACAAAUGAGUAUUACAUAUAUACUCAUGUGGAUGCCAUCUAGAUUGAGAUAAUAGAGCAUUGCUAGCACCUGCAUUAGGGACUUGAACUCAAAAUGCAGCGUGGGCACUGUUUGCUGUAGCCUGUUGCGGGGAAGGAUGGUGGGUAAAUCCUACCUCGUGCCAGCCAGCGGUCUUUUCAGCCCUGCCAUCCAUCUCCCCCCUUCCUUCCUGAGCAGCCAGUUGCUACAUUAACCAGACAGCAGGAAGAAAGGCAGACUGUGUCUACCAGAGUCUGCACCUCUUCCUGAGUUAACUUUUUAAGUGGGAUACACGAAGCCCGUUUACCCUAAUGGCCCCAAGCAUGAGAGAAGCACAUUUUAUACCAAGCCCCAGGUUUCCCUGAAGGGAAGUGGUAGAAAUAUUUACAAGUCGUUUUAGUGUGGCCAGAACAUAGCCAAACAAACCACAAAUAGAGAGCCUGUCAGAGUACGCUAGUGGGUGGGGUCCCUGAAUCUCGGGUGUGACCAGGUGUGACCAGGGCCCGGGGCAGGGGGCCCUCACCGUGGUGUAGUUCAUCAUUCUCCCUCUCCAAGGGAUGGUACAACAUUCUCUUUACACACAGGAAGGGACCCAUUUUUGUUCCAUUGCUGAUUAUGGCAUUGCCGUGGACUAGUUAAAAAGCUUUGUAUCAGUUGUAAAAUACCACUGGGUUUGGUCAAAUUUUAAAGGAUAGAUUCUUUCACGUUGUAGUUCUUCAACUUUUAUAACCAUUGUGGGGUCAAUUUUAUGUCAAGGCAAAUAGGAAACUCAUUCUAGAUAAAUAGCAUUGAUUAUCAAAAUAGUAUUUUGUGUAUUUACAUAUAUUUAAGAAUAUAUACCCUGGGGCAGAUAGUAUUUGAAACUUUUAUUUUCCCUAAUCAGUUUAUGGCCCAUUUACUUUUCAAAAUCGCCUUGACAAGGGGCGCCUGUCCAGUUCAGUUGGUAGAGCAUGUGACUUUUGGUCUCAGAGUUGUGAGUUCGAGCUUCACAUUGGGUAUAGAGACUUUAAUAAAAUAAAAUAAAAUCUUAAAAAAACCCACAAAAACUCAAGAGGGACUUGGGAAAUUAUAUUUGGGAAGACAUAUAUGAAAAGUUGGAGAAGUACAGACAAAGAAUUACAUUGGUUCCUCCCCUAGUUGAAGAAAUUGAAUUUUAAUCCUGGGAGGGAAUCAAACAGGAAUGAUUUUCCUUUGUCCUUUUUAUUUCUGCCUGAUUCAACAGAUUAAAAAAAAUUACUGCAGAGCUGCUGUGACUGAGGUUUGGGUGGGAAAGAUGAGGAUGCGAGGGUCCCACAAAGCCCUUCUAGCAUCUUCCCGCAUGCAGAUAGAUUCAGCCCGUGUCUUCUCUGCACUCUCUGGUUCUUUCCACUCCAUUCUGCCUCUUUGCUUAAACUCAGUUGGUAGGGUGAUAACCGUCUCAGAAGCUGUUUCAUUUCAAACUCUUAUCUGUUGCAAUCUGUCAUUUAUGAUUACAGCAUAUUUUGGAUCUUUGGAAUACUUUUGCCAUUAAUCAGAUAUAUGAAAGUGUUUUAUGUACUGUUUUAUUUUGUUAGCUAGCAAAAUGGACUUCUUUGAUUAUUUCCUGAACGUACCCCUGAAAAAGAGUAUUUCUUCCUAACUGUAAUUGUGAUAGUCUUACCCACAUCAGUCCAUUUAAUUUAGAAACCUAGAGUUGAAAACAUAAUGAAUGUCAGAUACGGUGGAUUGAUUCUCUCAGGAAUGUGUUCUGAUAUCAUACAGUAUAAUUUUUAGAGUUCCUGGUCUAUCUUUAAAAAUAACUCAAGUGGACUGAAGACCUAAAACUCCCAGAAGAAAAUAUAGGGAAAAACUUUUAGCACACUGGAUUUGGCAAUGAUUUCUUGGAUAUGACACUAAAAGUACAGGCAACAAGCAAAGAUAGACAAAUGGAACCAAACAAACUUAAAAACUUCUGUACAUCAAAGGAAACAAUCAACAGAAUAAAAAUGCAACCUAUGGAAUAGGAGAAAAUAUUUGCAAAUUAAAUAUCUCUUAAAUGGCUAAUAUCGAGAAUGUAAAGAAUUUCUACAACUCAACAAAAAAACCCAAGUAACCUGAUGAAGUAAUGGACAGAGGAUUUGAAUAGCCAGUUUCCCAAAGAAGAUCUAUUUAUAGAGGGCCAAGAAGCUUACGAAAAUAUGCUCAACAUCACUAAACAAGAAAUUUACACAAGUCAAAACAACAGUGAGAUUUCACCUCGCACCCAUUAGGAUGGCAACUAUCAAAAAAAA